GCUGGGUGUGGUGGUGCAUGCCUGUAAUCCCAGUGGCUCAGGAGGCUGAGGCAGGAGGAUCACAAAUUCAAAGCCAGCCAUAGUAAGACCCUAAGCAUCUUAGUGAGACCCUGUCUCAA
rnacentral:sRNA from 1 species